AACGAACGCUGGCGGCAUGCCUAACACAUGCAAGUCGAACGAGACCUUCGGGUCUAGUGGCGCACGGGUGCGUAACGCGUGGGAACCUGCCCUUAGGUUCGGAAUAACUCCCCGAAAGGGGUGCUAAUACCGGAUAAUGUCUUCGGACCAAAGAUUUAUCGCCUUUGGAUGGGCCCGCGUUGGAUUAGCUAGUUGGUAGGGUAAAAGCCUACCAAGGCGACGAUCCAUAGCUGGUCUGAGAGGAUGAUCAGCCACACUGGGACUGAGACACGGCCCAGACUCCUACGGGAGGCAGCAGUGGGGAAUAUUGGACAAUGGGCGAAAGCCUGAUCCAGCAAUGCCGCGUGAGUGAUGAAGGCCUUAGGGUUGGAAAGCUCUUUUACCCGGGAUGAUAAUGACAGUACCGGGAGAAUAAGCGACGGCUAACUCCGUG
rnacentral:rRNA from 1 species